UUUCCAGGUUGUUUAUUCUGUUUAUCUCUCACAUGUUCUGCUGCCCUGCCCAGCUCUGUCCUGCAGGGCAGCGUGUGGGGCUCUGCCCUCAGUGGGAUGUUACAAACAUUAAAUACCAGAAACUCCCUGUGCUAUAUUUACAAUAUAAAUGGUAAAUUUAUUUUAAAUUGUAACAUCCCUCAGUGGGACGUGACAAACAUUAAAUACCAGAAACUCCCUGGGCUGGAUUUACAAUAUAAAUGGUAAAUUUAUUUUAAAUUGUAACAUCCCUCAGUGGGAUGUGACAAACAUUCAAUACCAGAAACUCCCUGGGCUGCAUUUACAAUAUAAAUGGUAAAUUUAUUUUAAAUUGUAACAUCCCUCAGUGGGAUGUGACAAACAUUAAAUACCAGAAACUCCCUGGGCUGCAUUUACAAGAACGUGCCAAUAUCUGUCACCUACGUUGGACAGUGUGUCCCCAGCCUGAACCAACAGAAAAAUGCCAACACCACAGUGAGACAUGGAGGGCAUGAAGGAGGAGAAAAAGGACAAGGCACACCCAAUUUCCUCCAGCUUGUCCCCUUUGGAUCCCUCAUCUAGAAUCUUAAAAUUUUACUUUUGGACACGUGCCACACUUUGUUAUUACUUAUAUCAAACACUCAGAGCUUGUAAUUCAUCCUGUAAGAUUGAAAACUCUUCCAUGGACAGAGAUCAGAGACAGUGUCUAUGGGGGGUCUGUACAGGGGGGUUCCUGACCCCUGCCAGGGACCCAGGACUUCAGGGCAGCCAAAGCGACGCCCUGGACUGCCACAAUCCCCCUGCAGGUCCAUGGGGGUGCAGAGAUCCCCUGCAGAUCCAUGGGAUGCAGAGAUCCAGUGGAGAUCCAUGGGAUGCAGAAAUCCAGUGGAGAUCCAGGGAUGCAGAGAUCCCCUGCAGAUCCAUGGGAUGCAGAGAUCCAGUGCAGAUCCAUGGGAUGCAGAAAUCCUCCUGCAGAUCCAUGGGAUGCAGAAAUCCCCUGCAGAUCCAUGGGAUGCAGAGAUCCAGUGCGGAUCCAUGGGAUGCAGAGAUCCCCUGCAGAUCCAUGGGAUGCAGAGAUCCAGUGGAGAUCCAUGGGAUGCAGAGAUCCCCUGCAGAUCCAUGGGGGUGCAGAGAUCCAGUGGAGAUCCAUGAGAUGCAGAGAUCCCCUGCAGAUCCAUGGGAUGCAGAGAUCCAGUGGAGAUCCAUGGGAUGCAGAGAUCCAGUGGAGAUCCAUGGGAUGCAGAAAUCCGCUGCAGAUCCAUGGAAAUACAGAGAUCCCGCAGCUGGGAGCGGGGAGGCGUGGGGAAAGCUGCAUUUAAGGCUCUGCACUGACUUCUCCUUCUCCUGCUCCGAGUCUUUGGAGUUUUCCGACAGAAAUCUCUCCCCUGCCCCACCCACCCACAAGGCUUGGGGCAGGUUUCCCUUUUCGGGGGAAAUCAAAGCGAAUCUUUAUGUUUUGGAGGAGGUUUUUUGCUGA
rnacentral:lncRNA from 1 species